rnacentral:piRNA from 1 species
UAAAACAAAGGCAUGACUGCCCUCUGGAGCU